rnacentral:rRNA from 1 species
AGUGAACGCUGGCGGUAGGCCUAACACAUGCAAGUCGAACGGUAGCACAGUAAGAGCUUGCUCUUACGGGUGGCGAGUGGCGGACGGGUGAGGAAUACAUCGGAAUCUACUUUUUCGUGGGGGAUAACGUAGGGAAACUUACGCUAAUACCGCAUACGACCUACGGGUGAAAGCAGGGGAUCUUCGGACCUUGCGCGAUUGAAUGAGCCGAUAUCGGAUUAGCUAGUUGGCGGGGUAAAGGCCCACCAAGGCGACGAUCCGUAGCUGGUCUGAGAGGAUGAUCAGCCACACUGGAACUGAGACACGGUCCAGACUCCUACGGGAGGCAGCAGUGGGGAAUAUUGGACAAUGGGCGCAAGCCUGAUCCAGCCAUACCGCGUGGGUGAAGAAGGCCUUCGGGUUGUAAAGCCCUUUUGUUGGGAAAGAAAAGCAGCAGGUUAAUACCCCGCUGUUCUGACGGUACCCAAAGAAUAAGCACCGGCUAACUUCGUG